AGACAAUGUCGACUUGGGAACAGCUUGUGGACGAUACUACCGUGUUUCAUGCCUUAGUAUCAUUGAUCCAGGUGAUUCUGAUAUCAUCAAAACCCUUCCCGGUGACCAGUAAGCGAAGAAAGCUAGCGGAUCCAAUCGAUAGAUCCAGAAUUUUUCUUGUUUGGGUUGACUAUUUUUCUAUCUAGUAUGAGUUGAGUUAUAGUGAAAUUGAAUCAGGCUAUUUCAAAUUUGUAAGUCCGAAAGAACACAUUAAUACUGAAUGUUUUUUGGUAGCUGAAUCUGAAAGUAUGUUCUUGCACUUUAUGAAUGUCGUGUGAGACUA